rnacentral:rRNA from 1 species
AUUGAACGCUGGCGGCAUGCCUUACACAUGCAAGUCGAACGGCAGCACGGGUGCUUGCACCUGGUGGCGAGUGGCGAACGGGUGAGUAAUACAUCGGAACAUGUCCUGUAGUGGGGGAUAGCCCGGCGAAAGCCGGAUUAAUACCGCAUACGAUCUACGUAUGAAAGCGGGGGACCUUCGGGCCUCGCGCUAUAGGGUUGGCCGAUGGCUGAUUAGCUAGUUGGUGGGGUAAAGGCCUACCAAGGCGACGAUCAGUAGCUGGUCUGAGAGGACGACCAGCCACACUGGGACUGAGACACGGUCCAGACUCCUACGGGAGGCAGCAGUGGGGAAUUUUCGACAAUGGGCGAAAGCCUGAUCCAGCAAUGCCGCGUGUGUGAAGAAGGCCUUCGGGUUGUAAAGCACUUUUGUCAGGAAAGAAAUACUUGGCAAUAAUACGGUCGGGGGAUGACGGUACCGGAAGAAUAAGCACCGGCUAACUACGUG